rnacentral:rRNA from 1 species
AUUGAACGCUGGCGGCAGGCCUAACACAUGCAAGUCGAACGAGUGGCGGACGGGUGAGUAAUGUCUUGGAAACUGCCCGAUGGAGGGGGAUAACUACUGGAAACGGUAGCUAAUACCGCAUACCAUCGGAUGUGCCCAGAUGGGAUUAGCUAGUAGGUGGGGUAAAGGCUCACCUAGGCGACGAUCCCUAGCUGGUCUGAGAGGAUGAACAGACACACUGGAACUGAGACACGGUCCAGACUCCUAAGGGAGGCAGCAGUGGGGAAUAUUGCACAAUGGGGGAAAGCCUGAUGCAGCCAUGCCGCGGGUAUGAAGAAGGCCUUCGGGUGGUAAAGUAAUUUCAGCGGGGAGGCGUUACCCGCAGAAGAAGCACCGGCUAACUCCGUGCCAGCAGCCGCGGUAAUUC